rnacentral:misc_RNA from 1 species
GAUGAAGAACGUAGUGAAAUGCGAUAAGUAAUGUGAAUUGCAGAAUUCAGUGAACCAUCGAAUCUUUGAACGCACAUUGCGCCCGGCAGUAAUCUGCCGGGCAUGCCUGUCCGAGCGUCAUUUCUGCCCUCGAGCGAGUUCCAGCAUCUAGGUGCUGGGGCCCGCCCGGCGUUGGGGCACUACGGGAGAGCACCUGUGCUGCCCGUAGGCCCUGAAAUGAAGUGGCGGUCCUGCCGCGGCGCCCCCUGCGUAGUAUAACAGCUCGCUUCGGGACCCGGUGGAGGCCAGCCGUCAAACCUAUAUUCUCUAAGUUUGACCUCGGAUCAGGUAGGGUUACCCGCUGAACUUAAGCAUAUCAAUAAGCGGAGGA